AUUAUCUUUAUCGAUGAUAAAUACUCUAAUUAUUUUUUACAACAUAAAAUUGCAUAUUAUUGAUAGAGAACAAAAGAAACACGGCAUGGGUGGUAACUCGGGAGGUGUAAUCCACAGCCGAUUACAACGAGAGAUGUAGUUAACCUUACAGCUAACUGACUCUGUAACCUAGCACUCCACAAUACCGUAAACAUUCAGUAUAUCUCAGGAGACCAGACCAAAAGAGACAUGACCGACAAGACUAACAACAAAGAGAAUUGAGCAAAAAGAAAAGGAUACAACGAAUCAGUCCGACACAAAAAGAAAGCAGUUUAAAACGAAAAAAUGAUCCAACAGCGGGGGAAAACAUGUUGUCGGAGAUGAUCCGGUCUCCACAACCCUCGGGAAGCUCUAUGUCGAUAGGUGGGUUGCCGAGGGAAAGCGCACCUGUUGUGGAUAUUUGUGCGGAGGAGGCUUAGGUGUAAUCUCCUUGAGCGAUACAUCUUCAUCAUCAUUGUCAUCCAAAAAGAGAUAUCGUAAGGCUACGAGUUCAUUGCCGACAUCGAUAUUUUCGGUCACCUGCUCGGUUGUCGUUGUGUCGGUAUCGACGGUUUUGAUAACGGAGGCCAUGACGGUUACAGGUUCGGUCGUCUCCGCGUCGGAGAUAUUGGUCUCGGUGAUGGAGGGCAUGGUAGUUGUAGUGAUGUUGAUUGGGUUGAGCUCGAUAGAGGGGUUGGGUUAUGGUAAGAAGAGGAGAGGACAUGGGAUGGGUGAUGAUUGCUAUGUGGGUAGAUGGGGAGUGUGGCGAGGCUGCACAAAGCGAGUCUCAAGGGUUGGGAGAGAACGGCCCAAACCUUAGGCAGACCCCAUAAGUUCC
rnacentral:lncRNA from 1 species